UACGUAGGCAGCGAGCGUUGUUCGGAAUUACUGGGCGUAAAGAGUGUGUAGGCGGUGCUCUAAGUUCGGUGUGAAAUCUCCUGGCUUAACUGGGAGGGUGCGCCGGAAACUGGGGUGCUCGAGCGUGGGAGAGGAAAGCGGAAUUCCUGGUGUAGCGGUGAAAUGCGUAGAUAUCAGGAGGAACACCUGUGGUGUAGACAGCUUUCUGGACCAUUGCUGACGCUGAGGCGCGAAAGCUAGGGGAGCAAACAGG
rnacentral:rRNA from 1 species